CCCACCCUCCCACCCUGUGUGUACGCGACCGUUUGUUGCCUGGGCGAGCCGGGAGCGCAGCUCUCGCCGGUGUGUGCGGGUCCGUCCGAUGGGCGGACGUCGCGACGCCUGGAGCCCUCGCCGCAGGCCGAUCUUUGCGCUGUGUGCAUGUGACGUCUGAGCAUCAAUAUUCAAUAAGAAAAACUUUCAACAACGGAUCUCUUGGUUCUGGCAUCGAUGAAGAACGCAGCGAAAUGCGAUAAGUAAUGUGAAUUGCAGAAUUCAGUGAAUCAUCGAAUCUUUGAACGCACAUUGCGCCCUCUGGUAUUCCGGGGGGCACACCUGUUCGAGCGUCAUUGUACCCCUCAAGCGCGAGCUUGGAGUUGGAGGUCGCGGCGCGCGUGGUGCUCGUUUCGACGAGGACGACGGGCGGCGCGCUUCUGAAAGCGAGAGGCGACGCAGCCCCUUCUCCAGCGCAGUGACCUUCAUUCGCUGACGGGACGUGGUUGUGGUCGCCGGACCGGACGUGUGUUGACGCACACGCCGACUGACAUUUUGACCUCGGAUCAGGUGGGAAUACCCGCUGAACUUAAGCAUAUCAUAAGCCGGAAGAAAAUGUUUUCUCAAAUGUAUUUUUCCAUUAUCAAAUGGGG
rnacentral:rRNA from 1 species